UACGGAGGGUGCAAGCGUUAUCCGGAUUUACUGGGUUUAAAGGGUGUGUAGGCGGGCUUUUAAGUCAGUGGUGAAAUCUCCGGGCUCAACCCGGAAACUGCCAUUGAUACUAUUAGUCUUGAAUUCUGUUGAGGUAGGCGGAAUAAGUCAUGUAGCGGUGAAAUGCAUAGAUAUGACUUAGAACACCAAUUGCGAAGGCAGCUUACUAAACAGAUAUUGAUGCUGAGGCACGAAAGCGUGGGGAUCAAACAGG
rnacentral:rRNA from 1 species